rnacentral:tRNA from 1 species
GCCUCCUUAGCUUAGUGGUAGAGCGUCAGUCUUGUAAACUGAAGGUCGUGGGUUCGAUUCCCAUAG